GAUGAACGCUAGCUACAGGCUUAACACAUGCAAGUCGAGGGGCAGCAUGAACUUAGCUUGCUAAGUUUGAUGGCGACCGGCGCACGGGUGAGUAACACGUAUCCAACCUGCCGAUGACUCGGGGAUAGCCUUUCGAAAGAAAGAUUAAUACCCGAUGGCAUAGUUCUUCCGCAUGGUAGAACUAUUAAAGAAUUUCGGUCAUCGAUGGGGAUGCGUUCCAUUAGGUUGUUGGCGGGGUAACGGCCCACCAAGCCUUCGAUGGAUAGGGGUUCUGAGAGGAAGGUCCCCCACAUUGGAACUGAGACACGGUCCAAACUCCUACGGGAGGCAGCAGUGAGGAAUAUUGGUCAAUGGACGAGAGUCUGAACCAGCCAAGUAGCGUGAAGGAUGACUGCCCUAUGGGUUGUAAACUUCUUUUAUACGGGAAUAAAGUGAGGCACGUGUGCCUUUUUGUAUGUACCGUAUGAAUAAGGAUCGGCUAACUCCGU
rnacentral:rRNA from 1 species